rnacentral:tRNA from 1 species
GGCCCGGUAGCUCAGUUGGUAGAGCACGUGACUGAAAAUUACGGUGUCGACAGUUCGAUUCUGUCCUGGGCCACCA